rnacentral:rRNA from 1 species
GUCUAUGGCCACACCGCCCUGAACGCACCCCAUCUCUUCUGAUCUCGGAAGCUAAGCAGGGUCAGGCCUGGUUAGUACUUAGUACUUGGAUGGGAGAAAAUAAAGGCCACAGUCC